rnacentral:rRNA from 1 species
UACAGAGGGGGGCAAGCGUUAUUCGGAAUUAUUGGGCGUAAAGGGCGCGUAGGCGGCCUGGCAAGUGGAAGGUGAAAUCCCUCGGCUUAACCGAGGAACUGCCCUCCAAACUGCUUGGCUUGAGUCCGGGAGAGGUGAGUGGAAUUCCCAGUGUAGCGGUGAAAUGCGUAGAUAUUGGGAGGAACACCAGUGGCGAAGGCGGCUCACUGGACCGGAACUGACGCUGAGGCGCGAAAGCGUGGGGAGCAAACGGG